AUUGAACGCUGGCGGCAGGCCUAACACAUGCAAGUCGAGCGGGGUUUUCGGACCUAGCGGCGGACGGGUGAGUAAUGUGUAGGAAGCUACCCGAUAGAGGGGGAUACCAGUUGGAAACGACUGUUAAUACCGCAUAAUGUCUACGGACCAAAGUGUGGGACCUUCGGGCCACAUGCUAUCGGAUGCGCCUACGUGGGAUUAGCUAGUUGGUGAGGUAAUGGCUCACCAAGGCGACGAUCCCUAGCUGGUUUGAGAGGAUGAUCAGCCACACGGGAACUGAGACACGGUCCAGACUCCUACGGGAGGCAGCAGGGGGGAAUAUUGGACAAUGGGCGCAAGCCUGAUCCAGCCAUGCCGCGUGUGUGAAGAAGGCCUUCGGGUUGUAAGGCACUUUCAGCGAGGAGGAAGGGGUGAGUGUUAAUAGCACAUCAUUUUGACGUUACUCGCAGAAGAAGCACCGGCUAACUCUGUGCCAGCAGCCGCAGUAAGAC
rnacentral:rRNA from 1 species